rnacentral:lncRNA from 1 species
AACCAAUUGGUUUCACAGGCAAGCAUGUUGUCCAUGCAGCUCACGCUAUUUUGGAGGGAAAAUACAAUACACACAGAGACCAGACUUUGGAGGAAUGAGGCCGGCCUUCUGUCAUCUUGGGAAAUGAUGUGCCAUCACAGGUCUAUAAGGAUGACAAACAGAACUCUCCAGUGGAAUGGGAACACUCUGGCCGUACAGUCUUAUUCUGACAAAGGCUCGAGAAUUCAAGAUUACGAACCAUAAAACUAGAGCAAAUCUGUGUGUAGGACACUAUUGGCUCAUCAAGCCUGGGAUGCACCAGGGCAUACAGUAGGCACAUAUUUGUUGUAAGGAAUCCCUACAGGAAUGAGAAGACAUGAUGAAGACGCCAAGAUCAUCCCUCUAAAAAUAAGAACUGAGAAUGUUAACUCG